ACAGAGGAUCUACCUGGCUAUGACAGUAUACAACACAAGGCUGACACUGAAGCCAGGAGAGGGAGCUACCUGUGUCGAUGAUCAUGGCAUAGUAUUUGGGAGGGGAACCGAGGCCUAACUUCACAUAGUAAUUAGCAGAGCCGAUAGACAAACCAGGACUCAAUGGGACGCUGGCAGAAUUUGGUUCCAGGAGAUGUCCGGAUUUGUGGUGUGGGACCGAGGCAUUCCGUACACUUCCCUUCACUAGUCUGUGUCUAAGAUACUUUACACGUUCUUCAUCAUGCGUGAGUACAUCACUGAGAGAUGUGGAAGAAUUGGGAGAGAGAGAGGAGCCAGGUCCAUGGACAUGGAAUAAGUUGAGCUGUAUGCUAGACUGACUGGCUGAUGACUUAUAUUCUUGAAGUUCUGCCAGAGAUGUUGCAAGGAGAUAGAAAGUAAGAAACCAGGCCAGCGCCAUCUCAGGGAUUUUUCUUGCUUUUGCUCUCCCUUAAUUAUAUAAAAGAAAAAGCAGCAGCUCAGAGACACUGGAGAAGAUAAUAAAGGGUUUAUAAAUGAUAAUUAAUUAGCUGGAAAAUGUAAAAGCCAUCGCAUUCUGCCAACCAACGGAGUCAUGGAAUAAGUUGGGGAGAUGGGAGGUGAGGUGCAUUAAUAACUAUCAUAUACGUGAUAUCUCGGAGCUUUUCCAUUAGAGAUUGUUUCCAAUGUUAUUUGAUUAUUCCC
rnacentral:misc_RNA from 1 species